rnacentral:rRNA from 1 species
GACGAACGCUGGCGGCGUGCCUAAUACAUGCAAGUUGAGCGAUGAAGCUUGGUGCUUGCACCAAUUUGAAGAGCAGCGAACGGGUGAGUAACGCGUGGGGAAUCUGCCUUUGAGCGGGGGACAACAUUUGGAAACGAAUGCUAAUACCGCAUAACAACUUUAAACAUAAGUUUUAAGUUUGAAAGAUGCAAUUGCAUCACUCAAAGAUGAUCCCGCGUUGUAUUAGCUAGUUGGUGAGGUAAAGGCUCACCAAGGCGAUGAUACAUAGCCGACCUGAGAGGGUGAUCGGCCACAUUGGGACUGAGACACGGCUCAAACUCCUACGGGAGGCAGCAGUAGGGAAUCUUCGGCAAUGGACGAAAGGCUGACCGAGCAACGCCGCGUGAGUGAAGAAGGUUUUCGGAUCGUAAAACUCUGUUGGUAGAGAAGAACGUUGGUGAGAGUGGAAAGCUCAUCAAGUGACGGUAACUACCCAGAAAGGGACGGCUAACUACGUG